rnacentral:rRNA from 1 species
GAUGAACGCUGGCGGCGUGCCUAAUACAUGCAAGUAGAACGCUGAAGGAAGGAGCUUGCUCUUUCCGGAUGAGUUGCGAACGGGUGAGUAACGCGUAGGUAACCUGCCUGGUAGCGGGGGAUAACUAUUGGAAACGAUAGCUAAUACCGCAUAACAGUAGAUGUUGCAUGACAUCUGCUUGAAAGGUGCAAUUGCACCACUACCAGAUGGACCUGCGUUGUAUUAGCUAGUUGGUGAGGUAACGGCUCACCAAGGCGACGAUACAUAGCCGACCUGAGAGGGUGAUCGGCCACACUGGGACUGAGACACGGCCCAGACUCCUACGGGAGGCAGCAGUAGGGAAUCUUCGGCAAUGGACGGAAGUCUGACCGAGCAACGCCGCGUGAGUGAAGAAGGUUUUCGGAUCGUAAAGCUCUGUUGUAAGAGAAGAACGAGUGUGAGAGUGGAAAGUUCACACUGUGACGGUAUCUACCAGA